rnacentral:rRNA from 1 species
GGACAUGGGCACCUGAUCAGCAUGCCGCGUGUGUGAAGAAGGCCUUCGGGUUGUAAAGCACUUUUGUCAGGAACGAAACGGUGGGGGCUAUACCCUCUGCUAAUGACGGUACCUGAAGAAUAAGCACCGGCUAACUACGUGCCAGCAGCCGCGGUAAUACGUAGGGUGCAAGCGUUAAUCGGAAUUACUGGGCGUAAAGCGUGCGCAGGCGGUUGUGCAAGACAGAUGUGAAAUCCCCGGGCUCAACCUGGGAAUUGCAUUUGUGACUGCACGGCUAGAGUGUGUCAGAGGGGGGUAGAAUUCCACGUGUAGCAGUGAAAUGCGUAGAUAUGUGGAGGAAUACCGAUGGCGAAGGCAGCCCCCUGGGAUAACACUGACGCUCAUGCACGAAAGCGUGGGGAGCAAACAGGAUUAGAUACCCUGGUAGUCCACGCCCUAAACGAUGUCUACUAGUUGUCGGGUCUUAAUUGACUUGGUAACGCAGCUAACGCGUGAAGUAGACCGCCUGGGGAGUACGGUCGCAAGAUUAAAACUCAAAGGAAUUGACGGGGACCCGCACAAGCGGUGGAUGAUGUGGAUUAAUUCGAUGCAACGCGAAAAACCUUACCUACCCUUGACAUGUACGGAACCCUGCUGAGAGGUGGGGGUGCUCGA